rnacentral:sRNA from 1 species
UAUCUCAAGAUGUUGUUUGUGCUCUGCC